ensembl:lncRNA
GGAGGAGGGAGUGGAGGAGGGAGUGUAACUAGUGGAGGAGGAAGUGUAACUAGUGGAGGAGGGAGUGUAACUAGUGGAGGAGGGAGUGUAACUAGUGGAGGAGGGAGUGUAACUAGUGGAGGAGGGAGUGUAACUAGUGGUGGAGGGAGUGUAACUAGUGGAGGAGGGAGUGUAACUAGUGGUGGAGGGAGUGUAACUAGUGGAGGAGGGACAUCAUCUCUAGCAUCUAAAAAGGCAGCCUGGGUACCAGUCUGUUUGAGGAAUGAAGAGGUAGAGACAGGGGAAUGGAGAGGUAGAGACAGGGGGAUGGAGAGGUAGAGACAGGGGAAUGGAGAGGAAGAGAGAGAGGAAUGGAGAGGUAGAGACAGGGGAAUGGAGAG